rnacentral:lncRNA from 1 species
UUCUUCCUCGGGGAUCUGGUCUCAUGUGUUUCUCUGCAUUUUUAGGCACCUAGACAUCUUUUAGCUGUUGCUCAGAUGGCCUGCAGCCCCUCUGCAGAUUACAAAUGGGUGUCAGUCUUCUGCCUUGCCUUGUACUGAUGCAGGUAAAACAGGAGAUACCAUGGGAUGAGGAGAAAGGCACAGAGUGAAGACAAAGCAGUGAAGAGGAUGUUUGCC